GCCAUGGCCACCAUUCUUGUCUCCGGGACAACCUGCUGGCAGCUGGGUGGCGUCUCCAUCUCUGGCUCAGAGGCCGAGCAGCAGGAAGGGGAGAGGCAAGCGGGCACGCUGGAGCCCAUGGCCAUGAACUUUCAAGAAAAUGUGACCUUGGCCAUGGCUGUCUUCACCAUCCUCGCCUCCAUCUACUUCUUCAACAAGGCUCAACAGUGACAAGACCAACAACUGCCCACCCAGCAGCCCUGCCUCUCCCCGACCAUGGCUCUGGCCUCUGAGCCCAAAUAAAUGUAACUGGAUCAGCACGCCCUGCUCCCUGGCUCCGCUGCCUGGGCACGAGGCACCGCCGGCUCCGGGGCUCAGGGUCUGGACCUGAGGAGGUGCCGAGGGGCGUGGGCACCCCGACUCCUGGGUCUGAGGGAGAGUGAUGAGAGCACACAUUCUCAGCAAACUCCUCUUCGACCUUCAACACCCACUGACAGCCCCCCUUCCUGUAGAAGUGACCAGACCCAGAUAUGCAGUCCAGUGGCAGCCCCUCACUUACUGCUCCUCCCUGUUCCCUGCACCCCCCUGCACUCCCCGGCCAGUGCCCUGGGGCCUUCGGCCUUUGGCUGGGCUCCAUCUACCACGUCUGCCUCAGAGCCCCUCGAGGUGUCUACUCAGUGGCUCCCCCUUCCUGCUGGGGCAACAGCAGCUCAGAGAGGGAGAUUCAGAUACUCAAGAUCCCACAGCAAAGCAGAGACCAGAGACGGCCGUGGCCUGGUGGCGUGAGCCGGAUCCCACUCGAAUCCUGGACCCGACAGCUGAAAAAAAUACACUGGGUGUGUGUACCCCAAGUCUCAGCAGGACACAGACAUGAAAGAGAAGGGUUUGAAGUGUGACCGCACCCCAGUAGGAAGGCCUUCCCUUCUGUCUCUCUGUCUCUCUCUGGAAAGUGUACAUGCC